rnacentral:rRNA from 1 species
UCGGGAAUUUUGGGCAAUGGGCGAAAGCCUGACCCAGCAACGCCGCGUGAAGGAUGAAGUAUUUCGGUAUGUAAACUUCGAAAGAAUAGGAAGAAUAAAUGACGGUACUAUUUAUAAGGUCCGGCUAACUACGUGCCAGCAGCCGCGGUAAUACGUAGGGACCAAGCGUUGUUCGGAUUUACUGGGCGUAAAGGGCGCGUAGGCGGCAAUUCAAGUCAUCUGUGAAAUCUCCGGGCUUAACUCGGAACGGUCAGAUGAUACUGCUUUGCUAGAGUGCAGAAGGGGCAAUCGGAAUUCUUGGUGUAGCGGUGAAAUGCGUAGAUAUCAAGAGGAACACCUGAGGUGAAGACGGGUUGCUGGGCUGACACUGACGCUGAGGCGCGAAAGCCAGGGGAACAAACGGGAUUAGAUACCCGCGU